rnacentral:rRNA from 1 species
AUUGAACGGUGGCGGCAUGCUUUACACAUGCAAGUCGAACGGCAGCGCGGGCUUCGGCCUGGCGGCGAGUGGCGAACGGGUGAGUAAUACAUCGGAACGUGCCCAGUAGUGGGGGAUAGCUCGGCGAAAGCCGGAUUAAUACCGCAUACGACCUGAGGGUGAAAGCGGGGGAUCUUCGGACCUCGCGCUAUUGGAGCGGCCGAUGGCAGAUUAGCUAGUUGGUGGGGUAAAGGCCUACCAAGGCGACGAUCUGUAGCUGGUCUGAGAGGACGACCAGCCACACUGGGACUGAGACACGGCCCAGACUCCUACGGGAGGCAGCAGUGGGGAAUUUUGGACAAUGGGCGAAAGCCUGAUCCAGCAAUGCCGCGUGUGUGAUGAAGGCCUUCGGGUUGUAAAGCACUUUUGGCGGGAACGAAAAGGACUGUGCCAAUACCACGGUUCGAUGACGGUACCCGCAGAAUAAGCACCGGCUAACUACGUG